rnacentral:rRNA from 1 species
GACGAACGCUGGCGGCGUGCUUAAUACAUGCAAGUCGAACGGAAAGGCCCUGCUUUUGCGGGGUGCUCGAGUGGCGAACGGGUGAGUAACACGCGAGUAACACGCCCCUGACAUUGGGAUAUAUUCAGGAAAAAGGGGCUAAUACCGGAUAGGAGAUCUUGCUGCACGGUGGGGGUUGGAAAGAUUCGGCGGUUGGGGAUGGACUCGCGGGUUAUCAGCUUGUUGGUGAGGUAGUGGCUUACCAAGGCUUCGACGGGUAGCCGGCCUGAGAGGGUGACCGGCCACAAUGGGACUGAGGUACGGCCCAGACUCCUACGGGAGGCAGCAGUGGGGAAUAUUGCACAGUGGGCGGAAGCCUGAGGCAGCGACGCCGCGUGCGGGAUGACGGCCUUCGAGUGGUAAACCGCUUUCGCCGGUGACGAAGCGUGAUUGACGGUAAUGGGUAAAGAAGCACCGGCUAACUACGUG